CCUCUAAGUAAUUUACUGUGUUUCCACUCCCGAGCAGCAAGCCCAUUGAGCUGUCAAUGCUGCUCGCCAGUGAGACACAGGGAGGUGGCAGGCAGGAGCCUGGGGAGAAGCUGGGAGGAAGGUAGUGCUGCUCCCUAUCUGCACACAGGAAGCAUGACCUGGCAGUCAGGCACAGCGGAACAGCCCACACGGGGCUUUCAAAGUUGUGCUUCCUGUGUGUGAAAGGCUGUCUGGCAGGGAGAGGGGUGAGCAGGGAGGCUGCUGACUGGAAGAGGGGUGAAGAGCUUCCCUGCUUUUAUUUUAAUCCAGCUUUCACUGUGAUUCCCCCUUCUGCUGGAUGGAAGCUGGAAGUUUCAGCCAGGAGUGAGCACAGGUCAUUUCAAAGAGCAAGGUGGGCUCAGUGGGCAGUGUCACCCAGGUAUUUCAUGUUCAUUUUACUGAUUCUUAGGGUGUGUAUGUCUGAAGGUGUAAUUGUGUGUGUGUGUGUGUGUAUGUUUGAGGGUGUAAUUGUCUGUGUGUGUGUGUGUGUAUAUGUUUGAGGUAUGUGUGUAAGGGUGCAAUUCUCUAUGUGUGUGUGUGUGUGUUAGAGGGUGUAAUUGUGUGUGUGUGUGUGUGUGUGUGUUGAGGGUGUUUUUGUCAGUAAGCCUUUGAGGGUGUAUUUGUGUGUAUCCGAGGGCGUAACUGUGAGUGUGCUUGGUGUGUAUUUUUAAAGGUGUUAUAUGUAUUUGUGAGUAUAAUUGUGUGUGUGUGUGAGUGAUAUGUGCCAAAUACACAUACUUUUACAAUCAUGUUCCCAACUUUCCAUGCACACACCUUCGCACUCACAUAUACAUGCAAACAUAUACACCUCUGGCAACGCUCCACGCAGUGCAUGCUGGAGCAUUGCCAUGGCAACUCGCGGAAACACUCUAGCACCUCACGAGAGGAGAGAAGCUGAUCCUGUUGGGUAUAAAAAAUUAGCUCUUGGACUCCUCAUCAUAGGACGAUUUGCUGUGCCACCGGACCAAGAAUAUCGUUUCCCCCCUCCUUGCCUGCAGGUAAGAGGCAGGAAGAGGUGAAUAAACAGUAUAACAUAUAAAAAAAACUGCUUCCCUGCCCACACAACAAACACACAUACAUUACAUUGAGUAUCCAGUACACAAAUACACACACUACAUCCACUACACAAACGGACAC